rnacentral:rRNA from 1 species
UACGGGGGGGGCAAGCGUUGUUCGGAAUUACUGGGCGUAAAGGGCUCGUAGGCGGCCAACUAAGUCAGACGUGAAAUCCCCAGGCUCAACCUGGGAACUGCGUCUGAUACUGGAUGGCUUGAAUCCGGGAGAGGGAUGCAGAAUUCCAGGUGUAGCGGUGAAAUGCGUAGAUAUCUGGAGGAACACCGGUGGCGAAGGCGGCAUCCUGGACCAACACUGACGCUGAGGAGCGAAAGCUAGGGGAGCAAACGGG